rnacentral:lncRNA from 1 species
UUUAUGAUUUCUCAUGAGGUAGAAAAUUUUAGAAAUGGGAAAAAAAAUGACGGACUGAAGUUUCUCCUCUGUUUUGUAUUCCCACUGUAUUUGUUUUCAUUGCAGCAUUGUCUCUUCUUGAAGCUUUCUCAUUUUUUGAAUACAUAAUUGAUGAAUUGCAGCAUUGAUACGAGUGAACAAUAAACUAAUUAGGUCAUUGUAAUCUGAUUGAUUUUUUUUUCUUUUGACAAGUUUCGCUAUAGUAUAUUAUUUAUAUUCCUAAAUAGAGACUUGUAAGUUAUGUUAUGACUUACUAAUCUUACAUAACUAUCCUACAUUAAUUGCAUUGCUACGAGUGAACAAUAAACUAAUAAUUCGGUCAUUGCAAUCUGAUUGAUUUUUCGAUUUACUUUUGGCAGCUCCCCCUUGUUCUAUUUGAGUAGCUCGGCUCUCAAUUUUUUUCCAACCUUGCCCGUGUUCGCUAUAGCAUUUAUAUACAGUAUGUGGAGAUGACACCAUUACCAUUCAAGGUUAGAGAAUGGAUAGAAGCAAACAAUUAAUUAAAGAGGAAACUUUAUCUUAAUUUAUUUGUUGUUCGAUGAUGUUGUAGUGAAAGCGUUAUGGGUAUGGCCGAAUGGGUAUUUUGAGGAAUUUUGAGAUAAACACAUCUAGGAGAAAUAACAAGCCUAAAAAUUUUCCAGAUGCUAGCGGUGAAUGGUCUCAUAAAGUUUAGAACUUUAUGUGUGGUUAUGG